rnacentral:rRNA from 2 species
GGGUUUCGNUCGUAAANUCUGUUGUUAAAGAAGACANAUCUGAGAGNNNUNUCAGGUAUGACGGUAUUAACCAGAAAGCCACGGCUAACUACGUGCCAGCAGCCGCGGUAAUACGUAGGUGGCAAGCGUUGUCCGGAUUUAUUGGGCGUAAAGCGAGCGCAGGCGGUUUUUUAAGUCUGAUGUGAAAGCUUUCGGCUCAACCGAAGAAGUGCAUCGGAAACUGGGAAACUUGAGUGCAGAAGAGGACAGUGGAACUCCAUGUGUAGCGGUGAAAUGCGUAGAUAUAUGGAAGAACACCAGUGGCGAAGGCGGCUGUCUGGUCUGUAACUGACGCUGAGGCUCGAAAGUAUGGGUAGCAAACAGGAUUAGAUACCCUGGUAGUCCAUACCGUAAACGAUGAAUGCUAAGUGUUGGAGGGUUUCCGCCCUUCAGUGCUGCAGCUAACGCAUUAAGCAUUCCGCCUGGGGAGUACGGCCGCAAGGCUGAAACUCAAAGGAAUUGACGGGGGCCCGCACAAGCGGUGGAGCAUGUGGUUUAAUUCGAAGCUACGCGAAGAACCUUACCAGGUCUUGACAUACUAUGCAAAUCUAAGAGAUUAGACGUUCCCUUCGGGGACAUGGAUACAGGUGGUGCAUGGUUGUCGUCAGCUCGUGUCGUGAGAUGUUGG